rnacentral:misc_RNA from 1 species
GAACGCACAUUGCGCCCCUUGGUAUUCCGAGGGGCAUGCCUGUUCGAGCGUCAUUUCAACCCUCAAGCUCAGCUUGGUGUUGGGGCCUGCCACCUCUGGCAGCCUCUAAAAGCAGUGGCGGCGCCAUCUGGCUCUAAGCGUAGUAACUUACCCGCUAUAGACCCCCGAUGGAUGCUUGCCAGCAACCCCUCAUUUUCUAUGGUUGACCUCGGAUCAGGUAGGGAUACCCGCUGAACUUAAG